AUACGUAGGGUGCGAGCGUUGUCCGGAAUUACUGGGCGUAAAGAGCUCGUAGGUGGUUUGUCGCGUCGUCUGUGAAAUUCCGGGGCUUAACUCCGGGCGUGCAGGCGAUACGGGCAUAACUUGAGUACUGUAGGGGAGACUGGAAUUCCUGGUGUAGCGGUGAAAUGCGCAGAUAUCAGGAGGAACACCGGGGGCGAAGGCGGGUCUCUGGGCAGAAACUGACGCUGAGGAGCGAAAGCAUGGGGAGCGAACAGGAUUAGAUACCCUGGUAGUCCAUGCCGUAAACGGUGGGCGCUAGGUGUAGGGGUCUUCCACGACUUCUGUGCCGUAGCUAACGCAUUAAGCGCCCCGCCUGGGGAGUACGGCCGCAAGGCUAAAACUCAAAGGAAUUGACGGGG
rnacentral:rRNA from 1 species